AAAGGUGGUUAUAGCGAGAGGGUUCCACCUCUUCCCAUACCGAACAGAGAAGUUAAGCCUCUUAGCGCCGAUGGUACUACGCAAGUGGGAGAGUAGGUCGCCGCCUUCA
rnacentral:rRNA from 1 species